UGAGGAAUCUUCCACAAUGGGCGCAAGCCUGAUGGAGCGACACCGCGUGAAGGAUGAAGGUUGAAAGAUUGUAAACUUCUUUUCUGAGGGAGCAUAAUGAGAGUACCUCAGGAAUAAGGGACGGCUAAAUACGUGCCAGCAGCCGCGGUAAUACGUAUGUCUCAAGCGUUAUCCGGAAUUACUGGGUGUAAAGAGUUCGUAGGUUGUUAGUUAAGUUGGAUAUGAAAGACCGAAGCUCAACUUCGUGUUUGUAUUCAAAACUGGCUAACUAGAAUUAGGGAGAGGUAAGCGGAAUUCUAAGUGUAGGGGUGCAAUCCGUAGAUACUUAGAAGAACACCAAAAGCGAAGGCAGCUUACUGGAACUAUAUUGACGCUGAGGAACGAAAGCGUGGGGAGCGAAAAGG
rnacentral:rRNA from 1 species